UUCGGUGGCAAUAGCGGCAGGGUCACACCCGUUCCCAUUCCGAACACGGAAGUUAAGCCUGCCUGCGCCGAUGGUACUUGGGUGGAUUCGCCCUGGGAGAGUAGGUCGCCGCCGGAU
rnacentral:rRNA from 1 species